AGCACCGAAUCCCGCGGCCGAUAUCGGACGCCGGGAAAUGUGGUGUUAGGGAGGAUCCGUUUAUCCCGAGGUCGUACGGCGCGUCCAAGUCCUUCUUGAAAGGGGCCACAGCCCAUAGAGGGUGCCAGGCCCGUAGCGACCGUCGUCGAUCGCGGGAGGAUCUCUCCUCAGAGUCGGGUUGCUUGAGAGUGCAGCCCUAAGCGGGUGGUAAACUCCAUCUAAGGCUAAAUAUGACCACGAGACCGAUAGCGAACAAGUACCGUGAGGGAAAGUUGAAAAGCACUUUGAAGAGAGAGUUCAAGAGUACGUGAAACCGUUCAGGGGUAAACCUGAGAAACCCGAAAGGUCGAAAGGGGAAAUUCAUUCGCGUUUCGAACGUCGGAGCGGAGCGUUCGCGCGACGGACUGCGCGCGCAAGCGCGUCUCGUCCGCGCCUUUCGUUUCGCGAAUCGGCGUCGAACGCGUGCACUUUUCCCCUAGUAGGACGUCGCGAUCCGUUGGGUGUCGGUCUAAGGUCCGCGGUGGAGCCCGGGCGCUCGUUUCGGCGUUGCGCUCGGACCCGCGGUGUCCCGGCCGGCUCGCUCGACGGUAUACAGAUGGCGCGGGGCCGCUAAUUUUCAGUUAGCGUUCGGCCCGCGGCAAGCGCGUCCGCUAGCGACGGCGAUCGGACCUAGCGCCGGUCCUGUCCACGGACGACUGUUGGCCGCGGUGUUCUCGAACAGACCUCGUAUCUCGAAACGCCGAUCUGCGACGCUAUAGCUUUGGGUACUUUCAGGACCCGUCUUGAAACACGGACCAAGGAGUCUAGCAUGUGCGCGAGUCAUUGGGACAUAACUAAACCUAAAGGCGCAAUGAAAGUGAAGGCUCGCCUCGCGCGAGCCGAGGGAAGAUGGGCGGUUCGCGUUCCGC
rnacentral:rRNA from 1 species